GACCGCGUAGCUCAGUUGGAAGAGCAUUGGGCUAGUAUUCCAAAGGUCGUAGGUUCGAGUCCCACCAUGGCCG
rnacentral:tRNA from 1 species